GUCCACGCCGUAACGAUGACUGCUAGGUGUCGGUGGCAAAGCCAUUCGGUGCCGCAGCUAACGCAAUAAGCAGUCCACCUGGGGAGUACGUUCGCAAGAAUGAACUCAAAGGAAUUGACGGGGACCCGCACAAGCGGUGGAGCAUGUGGUUUAAUUCGAAGCAACGCGAAGAACCUUACCAAGUCUUGACAUCGAUCUGACCGGACUGUAAUGGGUCCUUUCCUUCGGGGACAGAGAAGACAGGUGGUGCAUGGUUGUCGU
rnacentral:rRNA from 1 species